rnacentral:lncRNA from 1 species
UGGGACAAACUGGGAGGGACUGGAAAUAUCCCCCUAAAAUCCCCCAAAACCGCUGCAGUCCCUCCCAGUAUAAACCAGUAUAAACCAGUCACCUCCCAGUCUCUCCCAGUCUCUCCCAGUCCCUCCCAGUUUAUCCCAGUAUAACCCAGUUCAGUCCCAGUUCCUUCCCAGUAUAAACCAGUUCACUCCCAGUCCCUCCCAGUUUAUCCCAGUCUGUCCCAGUAUAACCCAGUAACGUCUCUGUCCCUCCCAGUAUAAACCAGUACAAACCAGUAUAACCCAGUAACCUCCCCGUCCCUCCCAGUCCCUCCCAGUUCGCCCCGGCUGGAGCUGCUGGAGGGGGCGGAGCUUCCUUUGAUGGGCGGGGCCGAGGUUCGGGUUCGCUGCCACGCCCACGACGCGCGCCCCGCCCCCACCCUGGAGCUGCGCCUGGGGGAGGAGCCCCUGGCCGACGUCUCCUCGCGAGUGUUCGAGGGAUCCCACCCGAAACUGAGCUCAGGCGAGGCCACGGCCAGGCUGGUUCCCGUCCCGGCUCUCCAGGGGCUCCUCCUGCUCUGCUCGGCCUCGAACGCGGCCGGGGCGGCUCCGGACACGGCGGCCAUGAGGCUGGACAUUGCUGGUGAGCACGGACAUC